rnacentral:tRNA from 1 species
GCCCGCGUGGCGGAAUGGUAGACGCAUGGGACUUAAAAUCCCCCGCUCUUUCGAGUGUGCCGGUUCGAGUCCGGCCGCGGGCACCA